CCUACGGGUGGCAGCAGUGGGGAAUAUUGCACAAUGGGGGAAACCCUGAUGCAGCGACGCCGCGUGAGUGAAGAAGUAAUUCGUUACGUAAAGCUCCAUCAGCAGGGAAGAAACACUGACCUUACGGUCAGCAGACGGUACCUGAGUAAGAAGCACCGGCUAACUACGUGCCAGCAGCCGCGGUAAUACGUAGGGGGCAAGCGUUAUCCGGAUUUACUGGGUGUAAAGGGAGCGUCGACGGUGCGCCAAGUCUGGAGUGAAAUGCCGCAGCUUAACUGCGGAACUGCGUUGGAAACUGGCGAACUAGAGUGCGGGAGGGGUAAGCGGAAUUCCUAGUGGAGCGGUGAAAUGCGUAGAUAUUAGGAGGAACACCGGUGGCGAAGGCGGCUUACUGGACCGUAACUGACGUUGAGGCUCGAAAGCGUGGGGAGCAAACAGGAUUAGAUACCCCAGUAGUC
rnacentral:rRNA from 1 species